rnacentral:rRNA from 1 species
AGAGUUUGAUCCUGGCUCAGAAUCAACGCUGGCGGCGUGCCUAACACAUGCAAGUCGAACGCGAAAGGGAGCAAUCCUGAGUAGAGUGGCGUCCGGGUGAGUAACACGUGAAUAAUCUACCUGCGGGUGGGGAAUAACUUUCCGAAAGGAAGGCUAAUACCGCAUAAAAUCUAGUUGGGGUAGCCUAGUUAGAUCAAAGAGGGGGAUCGCAAGACCUCUCGCCUGUAGAGGAGUUCGCGGCUGAUUAGCUAGUUGGCGGGGUAAAGGCCCACCAAGGCGACGAUCAGUAGCCGGCCUGAGAGGGCGGUCGGCCACACUGGCACUGAAAUACGGGCCAGACUCCUACGGGAGGCAGCAGUGGGGAAUUUUGGGCAAUGGCCGAAAGGCUGACCCAGCAACGCCGCGUGAAGGAUGAAAUUUUUCGGAAUGUAAACUUCGUAAAUUAGGAAAGAAUAAGUUUGUACUAAUACUGCAAGCGAUGACGGUACCUAAUGUAAGCCCCGGCUAACUCCGUGCCAGCAGCCGCGGUAAUACGGGGGGGGCAAGCGCUGUUCGGAAUUAUUGGGCGUAAAGGGCGCGUAGGCGGUCAGACUAAGUCGAAUGUAAAAUACCAAGGC